CUUUCCAACUCUGGGGCUGCCCUGACAGGGACAGAGACUUUUGGGACCUUGGACUUUUGGGACCUUGGGUGAUUUGGGGUUGCUGGACUCUAGAACCAAAGGGAAACGACACGCUCCAAUUUGCUUGGGGUGGGUUUUUGCUCAUGGGUUGUGUUAUGAAUCCUCUUGCUGGUGUUUCCCCAACAUAAUGCCACAUUGUUGCUCUGUUAUUAAAAGGCUUUUUGCUA